GAUGAAGAACGUAGCGAAAUGCGAUAAGUAAUGUGAAUUGCAGAAUUCAGUGAAUCAUCGAAUCUUUGAACGCACAUUGCGCCCCUUGGUAUUCCGGGGGGCAUGCCUGUUCGAGCGUCAUUAUAACCCUCAAGCCUAGCUUGGUGUUGGAGCAUGCUACCUAAGCAGCUCUUAAAAUCAGUGGCAGUGCCCUUCGGCUCUAAGCGUAGUAACUUCUCUCGCUAUGGAACCCGGAGGGUACGCGCCAGAACCCCCAACUUUCUAUGGUUGACCUCGGAUCAGGUAGGGAUACCCGCUGAACUUAAGCAUAUCAAUAAGCGGAGGA
rnacentral:misc_RNA from 1 species